rnacentral:rRNA from 1 species
UACGGAGGGUGCAAGCGUUGUUCGGAAUUAUUGGGCGUAAAGGGCAAGUAGGUGGUCUAGUAAGUUUACUGUGAAAUCCCCGAGCUUAACUUGGGAAGUGCGGUGAAUACUGCAAGACUAGAGUAUCGGAGGGGUACGUGGAAUUCCCAGUGUAGCGGUGAAAUGCGUAGAUAUUGGGAGGAACACCAGAGGCGAAGGCGGCGUACUGGACGAUAACUGACACUCAAUUGCGAAAGCGUGGGGAGCAAACAGG